rnacentral:rRNA from 2 species
UACGGAGGAUCCAAGCGUUAUCCGGAAUCAUUGGGUUUAAAGGGUCCGUAGGCGGCUUUAUAAGUCAGUGGUGAAAUCUCACGGCUCAACCGUGAAAUGGCCAUUGAUACUGUAGGGCUUGAAUUACCAGGAAGUAACUAGAAUAUGUAGUGUAGCGGUGAAAUGCUUAGAUAUUACAUGGAAUACCAAUUGCGAAGGCAGGUUACUACUGGUGGAUUGACGCUGAUGGACGAAAGCGUGGGUAGCGAACAGG